UCCCGUUGGGACAUUCUUAAGAGACUAUUGGAUUGGUUUGUCCUUCACAUAUUUUGCAUGCAAGUAUCCUCUCCAUUUGUUCCAUAACUCAUUCAUCCAUCCCAAGAUAUGAUCACGAUGGUCAUUCAUAUCAACACUCUCAAAUUUAUGGUACACCAAUUGAAACAUGAUUUAUUAUCUACUGGCCUUAUCUCUAUUUCUCAACAAUUUGUUUCCAAAUCUUUAAAACACUCUAAGGUACUUGAUUACAGAUGCUCUAUCUAUUACAAUUGAUUAUCAAUACUAGCCAUUGUAG
rnacentral:lncRNA from 1 species